GAACGACUGCUAAGACUGGAUAGCAGACAAGAAGGCAUCUUCUUGUUUUUAAAAGACCUAUUAAUAGGUAUGCUUAGGGAGGAGCUUGCGUCACAUUAGUUAGUUGGUGGGGUAAAGGCCUACCAAGACUAUGAUGUGUAGCCGGGCUGAGAGGUUGAACGGCCACAUUGGGACUGAGACACGGCCCAAACUCCUACGGGAGGCAGCAGUAGGGAAUUUUCGGCAAUGGAGGAAACUCUGACCGAGCAACGCCGCGUGAACGAUGAAGUAUUUCGGUACGUAAAGUUCUUUUAUUAGGGAAGAAUAAAUGAUGGAAAAAUCAUUCUGACGGUACCUAAUGAAUAAGCCCCGGCUAACUAUGUGCCAGCAGCCGCGGUAAUACAUAGGGGGCAAGCGUUAUCCGGAAUUAUUGGGCGUAAAGGGUGCGUAGGCUGUUAAAUAAGUUUAUGGUCUAAGUGCAAUGCUCAACAUUGUGAUGCUAUAAAAACUGUUUAGCUAGAGUAAGAUAGAGGCAAGUGGAAUUCCAUGUGUAGUGGUAAAAUGCGUAAAUAUAUGGAGGAACACCAGUAGCGAAGGCGGCUUGCUGGGUCUUUACUGACGCUGAGGCACGAAAGCGUGGGGAGCAAACAGGAUUAGAUACCCUGGUAGUCCACGCCGUAAACGAUGAGUACUAAACGUUGGGUAAAACCAGUGUUGAAGUUAACACAUUAAGUACUCCGCCUGAGUAGUACGUACGCAAGUAUGAAACUUAAAGGAAUUGACGGGACUCCGCACAAGCGGUGGAUCAUGUUGUUUAAUUCGAAGGUACCCGAAAAACCUCACCAGGUCUUGACAUGCUUCUGCAAAGCUGUAGAAACACAGUGGAGGUUAUCAGUUGCACAGGUGGUGCAUGGUUGUCGUCAGCUCGUGUCGUGAGAUGUUGGGUUAAGUCCCGCAACGAGCGCAACCCUUAUUGUUAGUUGCCAGCACGUAAUGGUGGGGACUUUAGCAAGACUGCCAGUGAUAAAUUGGAGGAAGGUGGGGACGACGUCAAAUCAUCAUGCCCCUUAUGACCUGGGCUACAAACGUGAUACAAUGGCUGUUACAAAGGGUAGCUGAAACGCAAGUUUUUGGCGAAUCUCAAAAAAACAGUCUCAGUUCGGAUUGAAGUCUGCAACUCGACUUCAUGAAGUUGGAAUCGCUAGUAAUCGCGAAUCASCAUGUCGCGGUGAAUACGUUCUCGGGGUUUGUACACACCGCCCGUCA
rnacentral:rRNA from 1 species